rnacentral:rRNA from 1 species
GUGAGGAAUAUUGCGCAAUGGGCGAAAGCCUGACGCAGCGACGCCGCGUGGAGGAUGAAGGUCUUCGGAUUGUAAACUUCUGUUAAGUGGGAAGAAAGGGCUGCUUUUAAUAGAAGCAGUUAAUGACGGUACCAUUAAAGAAAGCACCGGCUAAACUCGUGCCAGCAGCCGCGGUAAUACGAGUGGUGCAAGCGUUAUUCGGAAUAAUUGGGCGUACAGGGUGUGUAGGCGGUAUGUUAAGUCUGUUGUUAAAGACUCCGGCCUAACCGGAGACAGGCAGCGGAAACUGGCGUACUAGAGGGUGGAAGAGAGAAGUGGAAUUCUCGGUGUAGCGGUAAAAUGCGUAGAUAUCGAGAGGAACACCGAUGGCGAAGGCAGCUUCUUGGUCCAUACCUGACGCUGAAACACGAAAGCGUGGGGAGCAAACAGGAUUAGAAACCCGGGUAGUCC